CUCUUGAGCAAGCAGAGUGCCGAACCUUAAACAGUGGUUUCUGUCACAUACUCGGUACAUAGGUGGACCGGUUUCCAAAAAUGGCUAAAAUGUUACUAUUUGUAUGUUAGCUAUAAGCAGAUGACAUCUCUUCCUUGUCUGAUUAGUGUGUCAGGAGACCAUUUGGGAGGCAUUCAAGAUCUUCUGGGAUCGCCUUCCUUAUCAGGAGGAAUACCAAAGCUGGAUGAGCCAGUGCCAGAAGGGCCUUGCUACAACACAAGUUAUUGGCAACUUUUUCAGCCAAUCAGAGGAGCACAGAGCCCUAGUAAGAAAGAUUAUGGCACCACUUGCUUUGCAAAGUGAGCCCACUGGAUUCAGGCAACAUUUGGGCAAGUAAGGUCUUUGUUGUUUUUCAACCUUAUGUGUUCAUGUUACCACUUGCCCAUCAUACAAGCCUUUAGAUUUUUAGGGACAUAGUCAGAGGUCUGCAUCAGUAAUACCUUCCCCAACUAGGCUUUGAAGGGCAAAGAUGGAAUUACUUUUGGAUUCCUGCAUACUUGGAUGAAAAUUAACAAUGUAAUAUUUUUUAAUUUUCCUAUUUGAGCCCCUUUAAGUGUUUCCAAAGGCUCAUGUUUCUGUAACAGCAGAUAGGACAGUGGGACAGGAGUUGGGCUGUCAGUAUGUAGUCCUAGAUUUGAUUCCCAGUCAGGCUGGCUGUAUCCUUAGAGACAACAUUUCAUCUCCUUUGUCCAAGUCCACAGAGCUGUAUAUUGUUACCAGAGUUGACUGGGAAAGUAACCUGCAAUGGACUGGU